rnacentral:rRNA from 1 species
AUGGUUUCGGCUAUCACUUUAGGAUGGACCCGCGGUGCAUUAGUUAGUUGGUGAGGUAAAGGCUCACCAAGACCGUGAUGCAUAGCCGACCUGAGAGGGUAAUCGGCCACACUGGGACUGAGACAGGCCCAGACUCCUACGGGAGGCAGCAGUAGGGAAUCUUCCACAAUGGACGAAAGUCUGAUGGAGCAACGCCGCGUGAGUGAAGAAGGUUUCGGAUCGUAAAACUCUGUUGUUGGAGAAGAAUGUAUCUGAUAGUAACUGAUCAGGUAGUGACGGUAUCCAACCAGAAAGCCACGGCUAACUACGUG